rnacentral:rRNA from 1 species
UACGUAGGGUGCAAGCGUUAUCCGGAUUCACUGGGUUUAAAGGGUGCGUAGGUGGGUUGGUAAGUCAGUGGUGAAAUCUCCAGGCUUAACUUGGAAACUGCCAUUGAUACUAUCAAUCUUGAAUACCGUGGAGGUCAGCGGAAUAUGUCAUGUAGCAGUGAAAUGCUUAGAUAUGACAUAGAACACCAAUUGCGAAGGCAGCUGGCUACACGAAUAUUGACACUGAUGCACGAAAGCGUGGGGAUCAAACAGG